rnacentral:rRNA from 1 species
CCUACGGGUGGCAGCAGUGAGGAAUAUUGGUCAAUGGGCGAGAGCCUGAACCAGCCAAGUCGCGUGAAGGAUGAAGGAUCUAUGGUUUGUAAACUUCUUUUAUAUGGGAAUAAAGUGAGGAACGUGUUCCUUUUUGUAUGUACCAUAUGAAUAAGCAUCGGCUAACUCCGUGCCAGCAGCCGCGGUAAUACGGAGGAUGCGAGCGUUAUCCGGAUUUAUUGGGUUUAAAGGGUGCGCAGGCGGCCUGUUAAGUCAGCGGUAAAAGCCCGGGGCUCAACCCCGGCGAGCCGUUGAAACUGGCGGGCUGGAGUUGGAGAGAAGUACGCGGAAUGCGCGGUGUAGCGGUGAAAUGCUUAGAUAUCGCGCAGAACCCCGAUUGCGAAGGCAGCGUACCGGCUCCACACUGACGCUGAGGCACGAAAGCGUGGGUAUCGAACAGGAUUAGAUACCCUAGUAGUC